rnacentral:rRNA from 1 species
UACGUAGGGUGCAAACGUUGUUCGGAAUCACUGGGCAUAAAGAGCGCGUAGGCGGUUUGAUAAGUCCUUUGUGAAAGCCCCCGGCUUAACCGGGGAAUUGCAUUGGAUACUGUCGAACUAGAGUACAGGAGGGGAGAGCGGAAUUCCUGGUGGAGCGGUGAAAUGCGUAGAUAUCAGGAGGAACGCCGGCGGCGAAAGCGGCUCUCUGGUCUGUCACUGACGCUGAGGCGCGAAAGCUAGGGGAGCAAACGGG